GAGGAAUAUUGGACAAUGGAGGAAACUCUGAUCCAGCCAUGCCGCGUGAAGGAAGUAGGCCCUAUGGGUCGUGAACUUCUUUUGGCGCAGAGCAAUAAGGGCCACGCGUGGUCCGAUGAGAGUAUGCGUCGAAUAAGCAUCGGCUAACUCCGUGCCAGCAGCCGCGGUAAUACGGGGGAUGCGAGCGUUAUCCGGAUUUAUUGGGUUUAAAGGGUGCGUAGGCUGCGCGACAAGUCGGCGGUGAAACCCCGGGGCUCAACCCCGGGCCUGCCGUCGAAACUGGCGCGCUGGAGUUCGGAUGCCGUGGGAGGAAUGAGUGGUGUAGCGGUGAAAUGCAUAGAUAGCACUCAGAACACCGAUUGCGAAGGCAUCUCACGAAUCCGAGACUGACGCUGAGGCACGAAAGCGUGGGGAUCAAAC
rnacentral:rRNA from 1 species